rnacentral:rRNA from 1 species
AAACCGGAGCUCAUGGGAGCCGAUGAAAGGCGUUGGGUGCUUAAGACAGCAGGACGGCGGCCAUGGAAGUCGGAAGGCGCUAAGGAGUGGUUGUAACAACUCAUCCUUCACCGAAGAACCUAGCCCUGAAUUAUGGAUGGGCUAUAAGCUCCGUGCCCUAUACCCGGCCGCCGGCAGGGCAGGUCGCCUCUUAUCGGAGCCAGACGAAGCCCCGCCGUGAGUAGAGGGCGCGCGUGAGCGCGGCGAAGGGAUCUGGGCGCGAGCCUGCCCUGGAGCGCCGCCGGCUGCAGAUCUUGGUGGUAGUAGCAAAACUCAAGCGAGGCCUGAGGCUGAUGCGGAGGAAGGUUUCGUGUGACAAGCCGUUGCACACAGUCAGUCGAUCCUAAGCCCUAGGAUUGAAAUCGAUGCCAUGUGGCGGCUGGGCCUUGAUCGCGCCGCCCGCCGUUCAGGGCGAAAGGGGAAUCCGGUUUCCUAUUCCGGAACCCGGCAGCGGAACCGAAACGUCGGGCCCUCUUCACCGAGAAGAGCUUCGUCGCCAGGGUAACCCAAAAUACCCGGAGGACCCGUCGGGAGACCGGCAGAGUUUGCUUCUGCAUAAGCUUCGAGUUCCCUGAAAUCCUCUAAGGAAGAUAGGCGUUUUGGAACGCGAAGAGCCCGCAGUUGCGGCGAGUGUCCGUGGUCGUCCCCUCGGACCUUGAAAAUCCGGGAGAGGGCUACGCGGCGGAGUCGCGCCGGCUCUAACCAUUAUCCGCAGCAGUCUCCAAGGUGAAGAGGCCUCUAGUGGAUAGACUAAUGUAGGUAAGGGAAGGCGGCAAAAUUGAUCGUACUUCGGGAUAAGAUUGGCUCUGAGGUACCGUGGGCGCGAUCGGGCGGUCGGGAAGCGGUCUUUGCGCCAACGUGCCGCCGGGCGAGGCGAUGCGGUGUCGACCGGCGGUCUGCCGGGUGCGGCGCGGGUCUCCGCGGAGGCUGGGGCCCCUCGCGGUUCGGUCGCGGAAGGACUCGCGCCCUUCCCCGCCGGGCCCGGGCGGUACCCCCCUGUCCCGGCGGGCCCCGCGUUCUCACCCGCUUCCGCCGCGCUCGCCACGCGAUCGAAGCUCGGUUCCCCGUGCGCUUGGCUCCCGCCGGAAUCUUCCACGUUCGAGGGACGCUUGCGGCCGGGGGACUAACCUCCCUCGCCCCCCAUCGGCUCACUCUUCGCCGCCAUCUCAACGGUUCGACUCAGAAACUGGCACGGGACUUUGGGAAUCCGACGGUUUUUUCAAAUAAACCCCAAAGGGGCCAUUGGCGAGGCCCUAGCGGGUGCGUUGACCGGGCAAUUGAUUUCUGCCCAAGUGCUCUGGAAUGUCAACGUGAUAGGAAGAAAUUCAAGCAAGCGCGGUUAAACGGCGGGGAAUAACUAUGACUCUCUUAAGGUAGCAAAAUGCCUCGUCAUCUAAUUAGUGACGCUCAUGAAUGGAUUAACGAGAUUCCCACGUCCCUAUCUACUAUCUAGCGAAAACACUGCAAGGAACGGCUUUGGAGGAAUCAGCGGGAAAGAAGACCUAGUAGCUGACUCUAGCCUGGCACUGUAAGGAGACAUGAGAGGUGUAGCAUAAGGGAGGCCGGGAAGGGCUAGUUCCCCCCGGCCGGAAGUGAAAUACCACUACUUCAUGUUUCUUUACUUACCGGGUUGGGCGGAGCGCGUGCGCCGGCAUGCCACUCGUCGGCCCGCGUCACGGUGUUCUCGCGGCCAAGCGCCGGGGCUGCGGCCUCAGGAGUCGGUGCGGGCGGGGGGGGCCCGGGCUGCGGCGACGGGUCGCACGGCCGAUCGGCCGCGCCGCUUCCGGAAGCCCGCCCGCGGUCUCUCUUCUCCCCCCCGAGGACUAGCCGCGCUCGUGCCCGCUAUCCGAUCCGAAGGACACGCCAGCGGGGGAUUUACUGGCGGUACAUCUUCAAAAGGAAAUAACGCAGGUGUCCUAGGCCAGCUCAGCGAGACAGAAACCCUCGCGUAGAGGCAAAAGGGCAAAAGCUGGCUUGAUCCCGGAUGUCAGUACGCAUAGGACUGCGAAAGCAAGGCCUAUCGAUCCUUUUGGCUUGGAGAGUUUCCAGCAAGAGGUGUCAGAAAAGUUACCACAGGGAUUAACUGGCUUGUGGAGGGCAACGCGUUCAAGCGGACGUCGCUAUUUUUGCAUCCUUCGAUGUCGGCCUCUUCCAUCAUUGCGAAGCAGAAUUCGCCAAGCGUUGGAUUGUUCACCCACCAAUAGGAAACGUGAGCAGGGUUUAGACCGUCGUGAGACAGGUUAGUUUUACCCUACUGAUGAAACGGUCGGUGCGACAGUAAUCCUGCUUCAUACGAGAGGAAACCGCAUCGGACAUUUGGUCCACGCACUUCGGUCGAGGGGCCGUGGUGCGAAGCUACCAGUCCGUGGGAAAUUAUGCCUGAACGCCUCUAAGGCCGUAUCCCGUCUGGAUAUGCAACGAUGACUCAAGGGAUUCCCGAGGGUCGAGAGGCUCUAAAGAAUGUGAUCGCUUCCAUAGGUGGGACGUGCUGCGUCCCACCCGAAGAUAGCCCCCGGUUGCCGGAUGGGGCGACCCGGAGCGGCGGCAGGACUGUGACCUGGCUAAUCGCCGCCCCGCCCCUAACGGCCGAUCAUGGGUUAUAGCAGUUCGAAGUCAUAGGGACUUCAGAAUCGUCUCAGACGACUUAGGGUACCGGCGGGGUGUUGUACUCGGUAGAGCAGUGCCACGCUCGAUCUGUUGAAACUCAUCCCUU